rnacentral:rRNA from 1 species
ACGGGUGAGUAACACGUGGGAACGUACCCUUUGGUUCGGAAUAACGCUGGGAAACUAGCGCUAAUACCGGAUACGCCCUUGGCCUUUGGCCCUGGGGAAAGGCUUGCUGCCGAAGGAUCGGCCCGCGUCUGAUUAGCUAGUUGGUGGGGUAAUGGCCUACCAAGGCGACGAUCAGUAGCUGGUCUGAGAGGAUGAUCAGCCACACUGGGACUGAGACACGGCCCAGACUCCUACGGGAGGCAGCAGUGGGGAAUAUUGGACAAUGGGCGCAAGCCUGAUCCAGCCAUGCCGCGUGAGUGAUGAAGGCCUUAGGGUUGUAAAGCUCUUUUGUCCGGGACGAUAAUGACGGUACCGGAAGAAUAAGCCCCGGCUAACUUCGUGCCAGCAGCCGCGGUAAUACGAAGGGGGCUAGCGUUGCUCGGAAUCACUGGGCGUAAAGGGCGCGUAGGCGGCCAUUCAAGUCGGGGGUGAAAGCCUGUGGCUCAACCACAGAAUUGCCUUCGAUACUGUUUGGCUUGAGUAUGGUAGAGGUCGGUGGAACUGCGAGUGUAGAGGUGAAAUUCGUAGA